UACGUAGGUGGCAAGCGUUGUCCGGAUUUAUUGGGCGUAAAGCGAGCGCAGGCGGUUGCUUAGGUCUGAUGUGAAAGCCUUCGGCUUAAUCGAAGAAGUGCAUCGGAAACCGGGCGACUUGAGUGCAGAAGAGGACAGUGGAACUCCAUGUGUAGCGGUGGAAUGCGUAGAUAUAUGGAAGAACACCAGUGGCGAAGGCGGCUGUCUGGUCUGCAACUGACGCUGAGGCUCGAAAGCAUGGGUAGCGAACAGG
rnacentral:rRNA from 1 species